GUAAAAAAAAAACUUGCGUAUAGUGUGUCGAUCAGUAAAAAUUGAGUGUUUAUUUUUUUUUUAAAUGUCAAGUCCUUACUAUUAAUAUUUAUGAAAUUAAACUUAUAGAAUAAUGUAUGAAACAUUCUGUGCUAUAAUUUGAAAAUGUUUUACUAACAAAGCAAAAAAAAUGUAUAAAAAAAAAAGCAAAAAAUGUAUAUAGACAGAACGGUCACCCAUCCAGUUACGUAGCAUAAAACCGCUGGCUGAGUCGCAGAAAUCUUGGAAGAAUCCCACGACCGCCAGAGGUUGUCCUUACGGUGAUGGUUGCUGUUGUUCUUUACGUCAACUAUGUCAUGAGACUCGCAAAGAAAAAUAAGAAGACACCAAAGAGGGCAAUACAAUAUCAACGACAAAAAUAGAAAAUAAAAAAAGUACACAUUUGUGGAUUUUUAUGGAUAACUUUCAAAUAAAAUAACUAUUGAUGAUUUGAACGAGAUGGCCCCCAUGGACCCCCCCUCUGAGCUUAUUUCAUAUUAUGUUGUGUACGUGUGUCAUGUGAGUGUAAUAUUGUAUUUGUG